rnacentral:rRNA from 1 species
GACGUAGGGCGCGAGCGUUGUCCGGAUUUAUUGGGCGUAAAGAGCUCGUAGGCGGCUUGUCGCGUCGACUGUGAAAUCCCGAGGCUCAACUUCGGGCUUGCAGUCGAUACGGGCAGGCUAGAGUUCGGUAGGGGAGACUGGAAUUCCUGGUGUAGCGGUGGAAUGCGCAGAUAUCAGGAGGAACACCGGUGGCGAAGGCGGGUCUCUGGGCAGUAACUGACGCUGAGGAGCGAAAGCGUGGGGAGCGAACAGG